rnacentral:rRNA from 1 species
GAUGAACGCUGGCGGCGUGCCUAAUACAUGCAAGUCGAGCGAACGGACGAGAAGCUUGCUUCUCUGAUGUUAGCGGCGGACGGGUGAGUAACACGUGGAUAACCUACCUAUAAGACUGGGAUAACUUCGGGAAACCGGAGCUAAUACCGGAUAAUAUUUUGAACCGCAUGGUUCAAAAGUGAAAGACGGUCUUGCUGUCACUUAUCGAUGGAUCCGCGCUGCAUUAGCUAGUUGGUAAGGUAACGGCUUACCAAGGCAACGAUGCAUAGCCGACCUGAGAGGGUGAUCGGCCACACUGGAACUGAGACACGGUCCAGACUCCUACGGGAGGCAGCAGUAGGGAAUCUUCCGCAAUGGGCGAAAGCCUGACGGAGCAACGCCGCGUGAGUGAUGAAGGUCUUCGGAUCGUAAAACUCUGUUAUUAGGGAAGAACAUAUGUGUAAGUAACUGUGCACAUCUUGACGGUACCUAAACAGAAAGCCACGGCUAACUACGUG